rnacentral:rRNA from 1 species
GGACUGGACGGCAGAUCUACGGAGCAGCAUGGAUUGACAAUGGGCACUGAUCAGCAUGCGCUGUGGACGAGGCUCGGGGUAAAGCACUUUGUCCGAAGAAAACCUCGUCCUAUACGGCGGGGGGAUGACGGUACCGAAGAUAAGCACCGGCUACUACGUGCCAGCAGCCGCGGUAAUACGUAGGGUGCAAGCGUUAAUCGGAAUUACUGGGCGUAAAGCGUGCGCAGGCGGUCCGCUAAGACAGAUGUGAAAUCCCCGGGCUUAACCUGGGAACUGCAUUUGUGACUGGCGGGCUAGAGUAUGGCAGAGGGGGGUAGAAUUCCACGUGUAGCAGUGAAAUGCGUAGAGAUGUGGAGGAAUACCGAUGGCGAAGGCAGCCCCCUGGGCCAAUACUGACGCUCAUGCACGAAAGCGUGGGGAGCAAACAGGAUUAGAUACCCUGGUAGUCCACGCCCUAAACGAUGUCAACUAGUUGUCGGGUCUUCAUUGACUUGGUAACGUAGCUAACGCGUGAAGUUGACCGCCUGGGGAGUACGGUCGCAAGAUUAAAACUCAAAGGAAUUGACGGGGACCCGCACAAGCGGUGGAUGAUGUGAUUAAUUCGAUGCAACGCGAAAAACCUUACCUACCCUUGACAUGUACGAAGUCUGCCGAGAGGUGAUGUGCUCGAAAGGGAGCCGUAACACAGUGCUGCAUGCUGUCGUCAGCUCGUGUCGUGAGAUGUUGGUAGUUCCCGCACGAGCGCACCUUGUUCCUAGUUGCUACGCAAAGCACUCUAGGGACUGGCGGUGACACCGAGGUGGGGAUGACGUCAGUCCAUGGCUUNGUAGCUCCACGUCUACAUGUCGAACAGAGUGUUGUAGUCUG